GAUGAAGAACGUAGCGAAAUGCGAUACUUGGUGUGAAUUGCAGAAUCCCGUGAACCAUCGAGUCUUUGAACGCAAGUUGCGCCUCAAGCCAUUAGGUUGAGGGCACGUCUGCCUGGGCGUCACAUAUCGUUGCCUGAUGCCAGUUUCCUCGUGAUGGGUGACUGUGCAGGGCGAAUGAUGGCUUCCCGUGAGCAUUGUUGCCUCAUGGUUGGUUGAAAAUUGAGUCCUUGGAAGGGAGCGCCGUGAUAGAUGGUGGUUGAGUGACGAACGAGACCCAAUCAUGUGAGACCCCUACCGAAUUUGGCCUUCAUGACCCACAUGCGUCUUUGGAACGCUCAUGACGAGACCUCAGGUCAGGCGGGGCUACCCGCUGAGUUUAAGCAUAUCAAUAAGCGGAGGA
rnacentral:misc_RNA from 1 species